GACGAACGCUGGCGGCGUGCUUAACACAUGCAAGUCGAACGGAAAGGCCCUGCUUUUGUGGGGUGCUCGAGUGGCGAACGGGUGAGUAACACGUGAGUAACCUGCCCUUGACUUUGGGAUAACUUCAGGAAACUGGGGCUAAUACCGGAUAGGAGCUCCUGCUGCAUGGUGGGGGUCGGAAAGUUUCGGCGGUUGGGGAUGGACUCGCGGCUUAUCAGCUUGUUGGUGGGGUAGUGGCUUACCAAGCCUUUGACGGGUAGCCGGCCUGAGAGGGUGACCGGCCACAUUGGGACUGAGAGACGGCCCAGACUCCUACGGGAGGCAGCAGUGGGGAGUAUUGCACAAUGGGCGGAAGCCUGAUGCAGCAACGCCGCGUGCGGGAUGACGGCCUUCGGGUUGUAAACCGCUUUCGCCUGUGACGAAGCGUGAGUGACGGUAAUGGGUAAAGAAGCACCGGCUAACUACGUG
rnacentral:rRNA from 1 species